GGGAUAUAGCUCAGUUGGUAGAGCGCUUGAAUGGCAUUCAAGAGGUCAUGGGUUCGAUUCCCACUAUCUCC
rnacentral:tRNA from 2 species